UGCCUGGAGUGAAGAUUCUGCCCAUUGGUCAAGAGACCUCCCUCUCAGAUGCUGGCUCUGCCCCUGCCUUUGGGGGUCGACCCUUGUACUCGCAGGACCUUAGGUGACUCUAUUCUACUUCUCUGAUCAUCCAGGAAGCCAACCUGCCUGAGGACGAGUCAUACUCUGUCCUCCCACCCCAGGCCAGAGAGUGGUAUCUGUCUUUCCACAAGUUGAGCUGGCCAUAAAGACAUUCUCUGACCUACUCUGUUUGAUAGUAGGUCCUCAGAUCCGCAUUCCAAAGGGAUCCUGUCCCAUACUUGGGAGCAAGAAAUGCCACACAGAGAGGCCAUGAAGAACUCAAACAGAGAGGCCUUGCUGGGUCCUUCUUUCAGUCUAUGACUCUUAGAUUACAGCCUUUUGUCCCAUCACACUUCUGCAUUCUGCACAGCCUUUGUGAAUUCUAAGUAUGCAAGUGGCCAGUUUCUUUGGAUAUCUGAGUCUUCAUUUAUGAAGACUCCAGUGUCAGGACCAUAUUGCGACUGAAACAAGGCAUAACAGGUCUUUGACUGGCUAUCCUGUGGAUGUGGACUCAGGCUAGCCUGCGCAAAGUGAAAGACAGGCAAUUAGAUUGAAAAAUACCUGUGAUUCAAAGAAGUCACAAGUCACAGAGACAAACUUUUCCCAGUGUGUUCGAGUCAGAGAACCUUUGCAAAGACCAACAGGCUAAAAGAGAAAAUACAAUGUCAUCUUGAUGCAGAUGAGCAGGUAACCAUGGAAGUCGUGAGCUGAGGCUGCAGAGUCUAGAGCCAGAGUGUGGAAUAAACUUGGGUCUCAAAUCACCCCUGGAGCAAAGCACCCAUCUAAUCAGGAACUUCUACUUUCAACUUUACAUGCGUGAGAAAUGAACUUCUAUCAUGUUAGAGAAAUCCUUACACGGCGCCCUUGAGAGCUUUCAUACUGCAAGUCAU
rnacentral:lncRNA from 1 species